rnacentral:rRNA from 1 species
GACGAACGCUGGCGGCGUGCUUAACACAUGCAAGUCGAACGGAAAGGCCCCUUUCUUGGUACUCUAGUGUCGAACGGGUGAGUAACACUUGAGUAACCUUCCCUUAACUUCGAGAUAACUUCAGCAAACUGGGGCUAGUACCGGUUACGAAUCCUUUCUUCAUGGUGGGGGUUGAAUAGCUUCGGCGGUUUUUGAUGUACUCGCGACUUAUCAGCUUGUUGGUGUGGCAGUGGCUUACCAAGGCUUUUACGGGUAGCCGGCCUGAGAGGGCGACCGGCCACACUGAGACUGAGAGAAGGCCCAGACUGCUACGGGAGGCAGAAGGGGGGAAUAUUGACCAAGGGGCGGAGGCCUGAUGAAGCAACGCCGCGUGCGGGAUGACGGCCUUAGGGUUGUAAAACGAUUUCAGAAGGGGCGAAGCUUGUGGUGACGGUACCUGAAGAAGAAGCAACGGCUAACUACGUG